AUUGAACGCUGGCGGCAGGCCUAACACAUGCAAGUCGAGCGAGCGGCGGACGGGUGAGUAAUGUCUGGGAAACUGCCUGAUGGAGGGGGAGAACUACUGGAAACGGUAGCUAAUACCGCAUAUCAUCACAUGUGCGCAGAUGGGAUUAGCGAGUAGGUGGGGUAAUGGCUCACCUAGGCGACGAGCCCUCGCUGGUCUGAGAGGAUGACCAGCCACACUGGAACUGAGACACGGUCCAGACUCCUACGGGAGGCAGCAGUGGGGAAUAUUGCACAAUGGGCGCAAGCCUGAUGCAGCCAUGCCGCGUGUGUGAAGAAGGCCUUCGGGUUGUAAAGCACUUUCAGCGGGGAGGCGUUACCCGCAGAAGAAGCACCGGCUAACUCCGUGCCAGCAGCCGCGGUAAUUC
rnacentral:rRNA from 1 species